UACGUAGGUCCCGAGCGUUGUCCGGAUUUAUUGGGCGUAAAGCGAGCGCAGGUGGUUUAUUAAGUCUGGUGUAAAAGGCAGUGGCUCAACCAUUGUAUGCAUUGGAAACUGGUAGACUUGAGUGCAGGAGAGGAGAGUGGAAUUCCAUGUGUAGCGGUGAAAUGCGUAGAGAUUAGGAAGAACACCAGUGGCGAAGGCGACUUACUGGACUGUAACUGACGCUGAGGCAUGAGAGCAUGGGGAGCAAACAGG
rnacentral:rRNA from 1 species